rnacentral:rRNA from 1 species
AACGAACGCUGGCGGCAGGCUUAACACAUGCAAGUCGAGCGCCCCGCAAGGGGAGCGGCCGACGGGUGAGUACCGCGUGGGAACGUACCUUUUGGUUCGGAACAACUCCGGGAAACUGGGGCUAAUACCGGAUAAGCCCUAACGGGGAAAGAUUUAUCGCCGAAAGAUCGGCCCGCGUCUGAUUAGCUAGUUGGUGAGGUAACGGCUCACCAAGGCGACGAUCAGUAGCUGGUCUGAGAGGAUGAUCAGCCACACUGGGACUGAGACACGGCCCAGACUCCUACGGGAGGCAGCAGUGGGGAAUAUUGGACAAUGGGCGCAAGCCUGAUCCAGCCAUGCCGCGUGAGUGAUGAAGGCCUUAGGGUUGUAAAGCUCUUUUGUCCGGGAAGAUAAUGACUGUACCGGAAGAAUAAGCCCCGGCUAACUUCGUG